UGAGGGAUAUUGGUCAAUGGGCGCAAGCCUGAACCAGCGACGCCGCGUGGGUGAAGAAGGUCUUCGGAUCGUAAAGCCCUUUUCCCACUGAAGAGGAAGGACGGUAGGUGGGGAAGAAGUCUCGGCUAACUACGUGCCAGCAGCCGCGGUAAAACGUAGGAGACAAGCGUUAUCCGGAGUUACUGGGCGUAAAGGGCGUGCAGGUGGCGUCUUAAGUCUGUUGUGAAAGCGCCUGGCUUAACCGGGCGAGGCCAAUGGAGACUGAAAGGCUGGAGGAAGGCGUAGGGGUGUGGAAUUCCGGGUGUAGUGGUGAAAUGCGUAGAGAUCCGGAGGAACACCAGAGGCGAAGGCGGCACUCUAAGCCGUACCUGACACUGAGACGCGACAGCACGGGGAGCAAACG
rnacentral:rRNA from 1 species